rnacentral:rRNA from 1 species
AUUGCGAUGGAACACGUUGAGAAUCCUAUUGAGGGUGACAAUGGAACUCCUGUGAGGAGUAAGAGACAAAGGACUGCAAAGUUCUUUGGUGAUGAUUUCAUUGUGUACCUUGUGGAUGACACACCCAGGACUAUUUCAGAAGCCUAUGCAUCUCCUGAUGCUGACUACUGGAAGGAAGCUGUUCGUAGAGAGAUGGAUUCCAUCUUAGCUAACGGUACCUGGGAGAUCACCGACCGUCCUUAUGGGUGCAAACCUGUAGGAUGUAAGUGGGUGUUCAAGAAGAAGUUUAGACCUGAUGGUACGAUUGAAAAGUACAAGGCACGACUUGUGGCCAAGGGUUAUACCCAGAAAGAAGGUGAAGACUUCUUUGAUACUUACUCACCCGUGGCUAGACUGACCACAAUUCGGGUGCUACUAUCACUGGCUGCCUCACAUGGUCUUCUCGUUCAUCAAAUGGACGUUAAGACGGCUUUCCUCAAUGGAGAGUUGAAGGAGGAAAUUUACAUGGAUCAGCUAGAUGGUUUUGUAGUACCUGGUCAGGAAGGAAAGGUGUGCAAGUUAUUAAAGUCUUUAUAUGGCCUUAAACAAGCUCCUAAGGAGUGGCAUGAGAAGUUCGAAAGAAUGUUAACUGCUGCCGGCUUUGUAGUAAACGAUGGUGACAAGUGUGUGUACUAUCGCCAUGGUGGGGGCGAAGGAGUUAUUCUUUGUCUGUAUGUCGAUGACAUACUGAUCUUUGGAACCAAACUUGAUUUAAUCAAGGAGGUUAAGGAUUUCUUAUCUCGCUGUUUUGAGAUGAAGGAUCUAGGAGUAGCUGAUGUUAUCUUAAACAUCAAGCUGUUGAGAGAUGAGAAUGGUGGGAUCACACUGCUUCAGUCUCACUAUGUGGAAAAGGUUUUGAGUCGUUUUGGGUAUAGCGACUGUACGCCUUCUCCAACUCCAUAUGAUGCUAGUGUUGCCACGAGGCCUGACAUCUCGUUUGCUGUUAGCAAGCUGAGUCGGUUUGUGUCAAAACUGGGAGAUGAUCAUUGGCAUGCGCUUGAGAAAGUUAUGCGCUAUUUGAAAGGCACCGCGAGUUAUGGGAUUCACUACACCGGGUAUCCAAGGGUACUGGAGGGUUAUAGUGACUCAAACUGGAUAUCUGAUGCUGAUGAGAUUAAGGCCACAAGUGGUUAUAUUUUUACACUUGGUGGUGACACUGCCACUGUUGAAGCAGAGUGGUUUCGUGAGCUCUUGAUGGACUUACCUAUGGUUGAAAAACCAAUACCCCCUAUCCUGAUGAACUGUGAUAAUCAAACUGUGAUCGUCAAGAUAAACAGUUCUAAGGACAAUAUGAAGUCCUCAAGGCAUGUGAAAAGGAGACUAAAAUCUGUCAGGAAAUUGAGGAACUCCGGAGUUAUUACGUUGGAUUAUAUCCAAACGUCGAAAAAUUUGGCAGAUCCCUUCACAAAGGGUCUAUCACGUAAUGUGAUAGAUAAUGCAUCGAUGGAGAUGGGUCUGAGACCCACC